rnacentral:lncRNA from 1 species
UUUCUCAUAGAUACUUUGGAAAGUGAAUAAUGGCAUCAUGCUAAAUCAAACUCAUGAUCAUGCUGAAAACUUUAUUUUUUCCAUGCAUCUUUCUACAUCAUCAUAAUCAUGUGUACAUAAUAUAAUAAUAAUAAUAAUGAUAGAUGCUAUGUAUCUAAAAUCAUGUAAUCAUUUGCUAACACAUGCUUGAUCUUAAUUUUGUGAAAAUAUAAAUAAUCAUAUACAAUUUCAUAAUCAAGUAAUCACAAGUAUUUGAUAAAAUAUAAGAUUAUAUCAGGUACUUUUUCCACAAUUCUUAUACAUAAUUCCAAUUGCAUAAAUAAUACUUUUUCAUCUUAUAAAACAUGAUAUAUGAUCCAUAAUAAGAUUAAGACAGGUUACUUACCUUAAUUUGCCCAUCAACCUUAGGUUUGGGUGCCGAUUCUUCAAUUACCUAAUAACAUUAUCAAAUUACUUGUUAAUUGCAUGUUCAACAUCAUUUAUUUACAUUCUUUCUUAAUUAACCCGUUUACAAUCCAUUUAUAGGACUCAAUUUUAUUUUCGGGUCCAUAGCCUAAUUUAAUUUUUGGUUCAGGCCCAUGGCCCAAUUAAAUUUCUGGUUCUAGUCUAAUUUACUUCCUAGUUCGGAUUUGAUUUAAUUUCUGGCUCAGGUCUAAUUCAGCUUCUGGUUCAGAUCUGAUUCAACAUCUGAUUCAGGUCUGAUCCAGCUUCUGGUUCAGGUCCAAGCCAAUUCCACUUCUGGCUUAGACCAAAUUGCCCUCUGGUUCAGGUCUGGGCCCAUUUGCAUUCAGGCCCGAUAUUUAAUUGGGUUCUGAAUAAGGCCCUUGGCCUGAUUUAAUUACUGGGCCCACUUAUAUUCAGGCCCAAAAACACUAUUGGUUAAUUUAUAAUUAUACCUUAUCAGUUCUAGUUAAUUUAAAGAGAACCUAGCCUCAAACUAUAUUCAAUAUAGUCGCUAUAUUAAAAUUUGAGCUCUUCAGGCCCAGUUAGUUUUGGUUUUAAGAACACUGGGCUCG